AGCGAACGCUGGCGGCAGGCUUAACACAUGCAAGUCGAGCGGGCAUCCUUGUGGUGUCGGCGGCAGACGGGUGAGUAACGCGUGGGAACGUGCCCUUUGGUUCGGAAUAACUCAGGGAAACUUGAGCUAAUACCGGAUACGCCCUUUUGGGGACAGGCUUGCUGCCGAAGGAUCGGCCCGCGUCUGAUUAGCUUGUUGGUGAGGUUAUGGCUCACCAAGGCGACGAUCAGUAGCUGGUCUGAGAGGAUGAUCAGCCACACUGGGACUGAGACACGGCCCAGACUCCUACGGGAGGCAGCAGUGGGGAAUAUUGGACAAUGGGGGCAACCCUGAUCCAGCCACGCCGCGUGAGUGAUGACGGCCUUAGGGUUGUAAAGCUCUUUUCUCCGGGACGAUAAUGACGGUACCGGAGGAAUAAGCCCCGGCUAACUUCGUGCCAGCAGCCGCCGUAAGAC
rnacentral:rRNA from 1 species